ACAUGGUGCGUGUCGGAUGUAAUGUUUGCAAUUUCACAUCGUCUCGUGGUUUCUGUGCCAGCAAGCCACUGAAUUCUUUCUUGUUCGUGCUUUACAACCGACAACGGGAUUUGAAGAAGUCCUCUUGGCAAGCGCGUUGAUCAAAAGUACCUAAUCCAUCCAAAGCAGGACGGCGUGGUGAAAAAUAAUAUUUAACUGGCGGAACAAUUAAUGGCUCUGUCGCCGAGCGGUCGCGCAAUGUUUAAGGAGCCCGCUAUUCGCGUACCGAGUUUGGAGCGUCUUAGAGAAAUAGCCCGAGACACGGGAUUGGAUGUUCCUGAAACUGAUCUUCAAUCAUACCAGAAAGCCAUCUCUACUAUUCUGGCUGAUACCUACCAACGGUUGUACGAGUUACCAGACCCCAAACUCCCAGUGAAAUAUCCUCGAACACCAGGUUACAGACCAUCACCAGAAGACAACCCCUACAAUGCUUGGUUCUGGCGCUGUGACAUCAAAGGAGCACCCAGAGGCAAGCUUCAUGGUAAAACAGUAGCCAUCAAGGACAACACGUGUAUCGCAGGACUCCCCCUGAUGAACGGUUCCCAAGUGCUGGAAGGCUUUAUCUCGGAUACCGAUGCAACAGUAGUGACCCGAAUAUUGGACGCCGGUGGACACAUUAUCGGCAAGGCUGCAUGCGAGAAUUUAUGUUAUGACGCUGGAAGUUUUACGUCAGUAACAGGCCCAGUGCUGAAUCCAUACAACUCCGAGCGAAUGGCGAACGGUUCCUCAUCUGGUUCGGCAGCCCUGGUCGCUAGUGGUCACGUGGAUAUGGCUUUGGGAGGAGAUCAAGGGGGUUCCAUAAGGAUGCCUGCCGCUGCAUGUGGAAUAGUGGGUCUAAAACCUACAUACGGUUUAGUUCCAUACACUGGGAUAAUGCAGACGGAAUUUACACUGGAUCACGUGGGACCAAUGGCUAGGACAGUUUAUGACACAGCUUUGAUGUUGGAGGUAGAAAUUAACGUAAUUUCAUUGCAAAGAAAUUAUGAGAGGGAAUAUAUUUUCAUGUCGAGGGUGCGGUGAUUUACUUGCAUCCCCCAUACUUUUCUUUUGAUGGAGCCAGGAGGAAAUCUUAGAAAGAAACAACAGUCUAGUUAGCUUCACCCCACAACAGUUAAAGUACGUUCACACUGCGAGAGCGCGUUUUGAAAGCGUAUAGACUUUUCCUUUUUGUUUACAUAAACGCACUAAGGAAUAAGUGAGUUUUCAAAAGGGAUAUCUUAAUUCUAUUUCUUUGGUCCAUUUGCUUACGGUGAGGUGAUUGCUGGGCUUGACGGAGACCUUGAUCCCAGGCAGCCGCGAGAUUUGUACAUCGAUGAACCUUACACAUCGAAGAUAUCAGGUGAAAUUUCGCAU